rnacentral:tRNA from 1 species
GCAGUGCGUGGCCGAAUGGUUACGCUGUCCGCUUUGUAAGCGGAUGUUCGAUUCCCAUCAGUUCGAUUCCCAUCUGCUGCA